GCAAGUCGAACGAGCGAGAGAGAGCUUGCUUUCUCGAGCGAGUGGCGAACGGGUGAGUAACGCGUGAGGAAUCUGCCUCAAAGAGGGGGACAACAGUUGGAAACGACUGCUAAUACCGCAUAAGCCCACGGUGCCGCAUGGCACAGAGGGAAAAGGAGUAAUCCGCUUUGAGAUGGCCUCGCGUCCGAUUAGCUAGUUGGUGAGGUAACGGCCCACCAAGGCGACGAUCGGUAGCCGGACUGAGAGGUUGAACGGCCACAUUGGGACUGAGACACGGCCCAGACUCCUACGGGAGGCAGCAGUGGGGAAUAUUGCACAAUGGGGGAAACCCUGAUGCAGCGACGCCGCGUGGAGGAAGAAGGUCUUCGGAUUGUAAACUCCUGUUGUUGGGGAAGAUAAUGACGGUACCCAACAAGGAAGUGACGGCUAACUACGUGCCAGCAGCCGCGGUAAAACGUAGGUCACAAGCGUUGUCCGGAAUUACUGGGUGUAAAGGGAGCGCAGGCGGGAAGACAAGUUGGAAGUGAAAUCUAUGGGCUCAACCCAUAAACUGCUUUCAAAACUGUUUUUCUUGAGUAGUGCAGAGGUAGGCGGAAUUCCCGGUGUAGCGGUGGAAUGCGUAGAUAUCGGGAGGAACACCAGUGGCGAAGGCGGCCUACUGGGCACCAACUGACGCUGAGGCUCGAAAGUGUGGGUAGCAAACAGGAUUAGAUACCCUGGUAGUCCACACCGUAAACGAUGAUUACUAGGUGUUGGAGGAUUGACCCCUUCAGUGCCGCAGUUAACACAAUAAGUAAUCCACCUGGGGAGUACGACCGCAAGGUUGAAACUCAAAGGAAUUGACGGGGGCCCGCACAAGCAGUGGAGUAUGUGGUUUAAUUCGACGCAACGCGAAGAACCUUACCAAG
rnacentral:rRNA from 1 species